CUGCCAGAAUAUAAAUGUCCAAUUGGACUAGGUGAUCUCAACCGAUGUUUCGGACAGCGGUUCGAUUCCGCUCAACUCCAUUUUCAUUUGGGGUUGUAAUGGUUUCGACGGGGCGUAAGGAAGAUGACUGAAGCCUGCUCGGUUAGAGCAAAAACACAAACGCUAACAAAAUCGUUAGUUUCUCCCGUCAAACAGCACCAGUUGCUGCUUGAUCUCAAAGGAGAUGGGGUGAUAUCAGCCUUAUCAACCAAAUGAUCCAAGGAGCCUGGAAGGGCUC
rfam:Prochlorococcus marinus MED4 complete genome.